rnacentral:lncRNA from 1 species
UGUUUUUAAUUAUUAUUAUUUUUUUUUUUUUUCUUCCGCCAACUUUUUUUUCCUUCGCUGUUUUUUUGUUUCACAAGAUAUCGCUUAGAUAUAAGGUAAAUGAUAUCGAACAGUUAAUACGCUUCUGAAACUGACACCGCGUAACAAAAAACUGUACCUUGUAAGAGUUAUCUCCCCGAACACUGUUUUUCUUGUGGCCACUACUCCUUCGCAACCGUAUAAGAAACCGACAAAUUUAUUUUUCCAAAUUGCUCGUUAUAUCCUUAGGAUGUUCUGUUUCAUUUCAACCGAAGCUAUCCGGAGACUCAAUAUGAGAGUUAUCCCCCCUUUUAUAUAUGAUAUCAGUGAUAUGCAUUUCUAACUGGUAAACUAUAAGUGAUAGAGACCUAGGGUCUUUUGAUUUAAGAUCCUUGGUCCAAAAAAAUUAAAAUUAGGUCAAGGUCAAAGGUCAAGGUCAAAUUCUAAAUUUUGAUUUUGGCUUAUUUUCACCUUUUUUCAUUAACCUUAUAAGAUAUCGACAAUUUUUUUUUACUAAAUUGUUAGUUGUGACAUGCCGUAACUUAUAAAUUUUGGUUGCAAAGGUGCGUAAACAAUAAAAGGGAGUUUUCGCCCCUCUUAUAUUAAGAAUUAUGCGUAAAGUGAUUUUACUCAUGAACCAUACAUAUUAAGGAACUAGUGUCUUUUUAUUUGAGAUGUUUAGUCUAUGACCUUGAAAUUGAGGUCAAGGUCAUAGGUUAAUUGGACGUUCUAGAUUUUGACCUUUGCUUAAAAUUCAUAGUUAUACAUCAUUAAGCCAUAGGAACUGACAUUUUCAACUGAAUUUUAAUAUUUUCA